GUGGAGCUGCUCUACUCCAAAACUCCAGGUAGAGUCAGCUCCACUCCAGAACUCCAGAAAUAAAAUGGGGUGUUUGGCUAGAUGGGUACUCUCAGCUCCAAAAAAAAUCAAUUUCAGUGUUAAUUGCCAUUGUUGCCCCCAAUUCAGGCCCCACUUGUCAUCCUCUCCCCCCCUUUCUUCCUCCUUUCUUUUUCCUCUCUCUGCCGUUGUCCACUGGUCAC
rnacentral:lncRNA from 1 species